CGCAUCUGUGCAUGCAGCAUAUCAAUAAGCGGAGGAAAAGAAACUAACAAGGAUUCCCCUAGUAACGGCGAGUGAAGCGGGAAGAGCUCAAAUUUGAAAUCUUAAAGGGUUUCCCUUUACGAAUUGUAGUUUAAAGAAGUGUUUUCUGUUGAGGUUUUGGUAAAAGUUCUUUGGAAUAGGACAUCAUAGAGGGUGAGAAUCCCGUAUUUGACCUUUACUUUCAACUUUGUGAUACACUUUCAAAGAGUCGGAUUGUUUGGGAAUGCAGUCCAAAAUGGGUGGUAAAUUUCAUCUAAAGCUAAAUAUUGGCGAGAGACCGAUAGGCGAACAAGUACCGUGAGGGAAAGAUGAAAAGAACUUUGAAAAGAGAGUUAAACAGUACGUGAAAUUGUCAAAAGGGAAGCGUUUGACACCAGUGUUGUUUUUCUGAAAAUCAAUUAAAGAACUGUUUAUGCUAAGUUGUUUAGACUUUAUCAGCUAUCUGUUUAGUUUUGAGCUUUUCUUUAAUGCACUUUUCAGUUAACAAGUCAACAUCAAUUUCUUUUGCUGUAAAAAAGCUUGAGGAAGGUGGCUUGAGAUUCGUCUUAAGUGUUUAUAGCCUCUUGCCUAUGCAGUCGGAGAGAUUGAGGUCUGCAGCGUAGAUCCUUCGGGGCUAAAUGCAUUUGUGCUAAGUUAUAGCAUUUUAUAGACAACUUGUUGACUAUGAUUUGUCUUGUAGCUUACUCGCUUAUGUUAUUUUACCUACGCUUAGGAUGUUGAACGCGCACAGAGUCUC
rnacentral:rRNA from 1 species